UACGACUACAUAUCAGGCAUAUCAAUAAGCGGAGGAAAAGAAACUAACAAGGAUUCCCUUAGUAACGGCGAGUGAAGCGGGAAGAGCUCAAAUUUGAAAUCUUCAAGGUUCUACCUUGACGAAUUGUAGUUUAAAGAAGUGUUUUCUGUUGGAGUUUUGGUAAAAGUUCUUUGGAAUAGGACAUCAUAGAGGGUGAGAAUCCCGUAUUUGACCAUUACUUCCAGCGUUGUGAUACACUUUCAAAGAGUCGGAUUGUUUGGGAAUGCAGUCCAAAAUGGGUGGUAAAUUUCAUCUAAAGCUAAAUAUUGGCGAGAGACCGAUAGCGAACAAGUACCGUGAGGGAAAGAUGGAAAGAACUUUGAAAAGAGAGUUAAACAGUACGUGAAAUUGUCAAAAGGGAAGCGUUUGACACCAGUGUUGUUUUCUCGAAAAUCAAUUAAAAAUAAAUUUGAUUUUGUGUUGUAUUGACCUUAAAAGCUUUCUUCACUUUUUUCAUGUUAUUUUUAAUGCACUUUUCGUUUAACAAGUCAACAUCAGUUUCUUUUGCUGUAAAAAGGUCAUAGGAAGGUGGCUUACUUUCGGUUAGAAGUGUUUAUAGCCUUUGACCUCCUGCAAUCGGAGAGAUUGAGGUCUGCAGCGUAGACUCCUUCUGGAUUAGAUACAUUUGUGCUAAGUUAUAGCUUUUCAUAGACAACUUGUUGACUAUGUUUAGUCAUUGUAGCUUACUCGCUUAUGCUAAUUUUACCUACGCUUAGGAUGUUGAACGCGCACAGAGUCUC
rnacentral:rRNA from 1 species